CGCUUUUCAUCUUUCAAACAAAAAAAUUCAAAAUCAUUACACAAAUUUUUCGGCUCAACAAACUAACCUAAAUUUCUAAUCUAUAGUUUUUUUUCAAAAGCUUAAAAAACCACACUCUAGGUAAAGGCAUACAAAAUGUGUUCUGGUUGUAGCCCUUGCUGUAGUCCUUGCUGCUGCUCGCCAUGCGUCUGCCCCUGCAGGUACUUGAAGUGUACGGAUUUCUGCUGCCGUUGGCCAUGCCCAUGCAAGGCUCAUUGCUAUAAUACGCCACCAAAGUGUUGCUGCUAAGCAGUAAUAUUCGAAAUGCUGCAAUGGAGCUUGUCGUCAGAACUUUUGCUUUUGAAUUAAGAACUUUUAAGUGAAAAUAAAGUAAAAUUUUAGAAAAAAAACAUCGAAAUCUCA